GCAACACCACACAUUCCCAGAACGCUUACGCUGGGCCAAAUUCAGCCUGUGCCUCUCCACAGCCAAUCCUGCACUUGCCGGCCCCUAACUCUGUAGCUGCACACAGGGCCUGGGCACUUGAGACCUCAGACUCGCCACCGGCUCCUCAGAGCCCCUGCCCAGGUCACCUGUGUAAGGAGAACACAGUGCCAAUGCAGCACAGCAUAGUGACACCCGGCCUGCCGGGAUUUAGCCCCCACCCUACCUAGCGGUUCUGGAGCUGCCACUGUGACCCAUGCAGGGUCGAGCAUCCCAGCUUCUUGCAGAACUAUUGCUACAGGGCCAUCAGCAUGUGACACUAGGAGACUGUGCCAUGUCAUCCUUAUGUGGGUCUGGGUCACAGCCGCCCAUCUGCUGUGCUCCCUGGCUGCCUCUUUUGUGAAAAAGAAGGUGAGGAGGACCAGCGAGGAGACACGCCCACUCCAGGGGAACACCUCCUCCCACAGGAACUCUCUUGUGGCCACAUCCAGUUGCAGAAGAGGCUGGGAAGUGUGCACCAUGGCUGUACCCAGCUGAAAAGGAGGCGAGAAUAGAUAUUGGGAGGCGAGUGUGUGUGCCGAGACCCUGCUUCUUUCCUGCAGGGUCUGUAGUCAUAUGUUCAUGUAGCACUGGCCUGGGUAUUUCAUAUCUCUCCCUGACAAAGUCAGGGCCUGGAGAGCAGGGAGCCCCCACCUGCUUACAGGGGUCCCCUGUACCUUGCACAGUAUCUGGGAUACAGUCAGUAGAAGCUCAGGAAAUAUUUGCUAAACGGGUAGAUAAAACUAGUCCUGGACUCCUCCCUUUGCUCUCCUCUGAUCAAACCUUUAGGAUAGAGCCCCUUCUUUCGCAUUCCCUACCUUUUAUUCUCUCUGGAGAAGACCUCUGGGGCUUUCCCUCCAGGGGCUUCAUGUUUCCAGCUGCUCAGUGAUUGGGCCUGGAUGUUCAGACCCCUCUCCCUCCCAACGGCUGUGCAGGGAUUAUAUCACGGGGUUUGAUGUGCAGAUGCUGGGGGUAGGGGGAGGGCUGGUAUGAAUUGGAACUGACAGAUUCCAGCGUGAAGAUGGCCUGAGUCC
rnacentral:lncRNA from 1 species